GGAUGUGAGGGCGAUCUGGCUGCGACAUCUGUCACCCCAUUGAUUGCCAGGGUUGAUCCAGCUGGCUAGGCGGGUGUCCCCUUCCUCCCUCACUGCUCCGUGUGCGACCCUCCUGAAGCUGUAACACCAGUACCAGUUUUUAUUUAUUCCAUUCCUUUGAGACAGCCUUCCCUGAAUAGAGAUGGGCCGGUCUUCAGUCAAGGGUGUACAAGUAGCUGCACUCCCCUGCUAGAACCUCCAAACAAGCUUUCAAGGUCCACAUAGAAGAACCAUGCACAGGAAAAGCUUCACCAGUGAUAAGUAUAUCUUGCUGUGGUAUCUCUUU
rnacentral:snRNA from 1 species